rnacentral:rRNA from 1 species
UACGUAGGUGGCAAGCGUUGUUCGGAAUAACUGGGCGUAAAGGAUGCGUAGGCGGUUAAACAAGUUAUAUGUUAAAUAUAUAGGCUUAACCUGUAGAAAGCAUAUAAAACUGUUUAACUAGAGUGCAGGAGAGGUGAGUGGAAUUCCUAGUGUAGCGGUGAAAUGCGUAGAGAUUAGGGAGAACACCAGUGGCGAAGGCGACUUACUGGACUGUAACUGACGCUGAGGCAUGAGAGCAUGGGGAGCAAACAGG